UACGUAGGACCCGAGCGUUGUCCGGAUUUACUGGGUAUAAAGGGUGCGCAGGCGGGCUUGUGCGUCAGGGGUUAAAGACCUCGGCUUAACCGAGGGAGUGCCUUUGAUACGGCAGGUCUUGAAUGUGAGAGAGGAUGAUAGAAUUCCUGGUGUAGCGGUGGAAUGCGUAGAUAUCAGGAGGAAUACCAUUGGCGAAGGCGGUCAUCUGGCUCAUUAUUGACGCUUAGGCACGAAAGCGUGGGGAUCAAACAGGAUUAGAUACC
rnacentral:rRNA from 1 species